GAUGAACGCUGGCGGCGUGCCUAAUACAUGCAAGUCGAGCGAACAGACGAGGAGCUUGCUCCUCUGACGUUAGCGGCGGACGGGUGAGUAACACGUGGAUAACCUACCUAUAAGACUGGGAUAACUUCGGGAAACCGGAGCUAAUACCGGAUAAUAUAUUGAACCGCAUGGUUCAAUAGUGAAAGACGGUUUUGCUGUCACUUAUAGAUGGAUCCGCGCCGCAUUAGCUAGUUGGUAAGGUAACGGCUUACCAAGGCAACGAUGCGUAGCCGACCUGAGAGGGUGAUCGGCCACACUGGAACUGAGACACGGUCCAGACUCCUACGGGAGGCAGCAGUAGGGAAUCUUCCGCAAUGGGCGAAAGCCUGACGGAGCAACGCCGCGUGAGUGAUGUAGGUCUUCGGAUCGUAAAACUCUGUUAUUAGGGAAGAACAAAUGUGUAAGUAACUAUGCACGUUUUGACGGUACCUAAUCAGAAAGCCACGGCUAACUACGUG
rnacentral:rRNA from 1 species